UAAGUGAUGGCGACCGGCGCACGGGUGAGUAACACGUAUCCAACCUGCCGAUAACUCGGGGAUAGCCUUUCGAAAGAAAGAUUAAUACCCGAUGGCAUAAUUAGACCGCAUGGUCUUAUUAUUAAAGAAUUUCGGUUAUCGAUGGGGAUGCGUUCCGUUAGGCAGUUGGUGAGGUAACGGCUCACCAAACCUUCGAUGGAUAGGGGUUCUGAGAGGAAGGUCCCCCACAUUGGAACUGAGACACGGUCCAA
rnacentral:rRNA from 1 species